rnacentral:rRNA from 1 species
CCAGACUCCUACGGGAGGCAGCAGUGAGGAAUAUUGGUCAAUGGGCGAGAGCCUGAACCAGCCAAGUCGCGUGAGGGAUGACUGCCCUAUGGGUUGUAAACCUCUUUUGUAUGGGGGGAAUAAGCUUUACGAGUAGAGUGAUGACAGUACCAUACGAAUAAGCAUCGGCUAACUCCGUGCCAGCAGCCGCGGUAAUACGGAGGAUGCGAGCGUUAUCCGGAUUUAUUGGGUUUAAAGGGUGCGCAGGCGGAGGCGAAGGGAGGGGGUAAAUUGGGGGGGCACACCCUCUCCCCGCCGUUGAAACUGCGUUUCUUGAGUGGGCGAGAAGUACGCGGAAUGCGUGGUGUAGCGGUGAAAUGCAUAGAUAUCACGCAGAACUCCGAUUGCGAAGGCAGCAUACCGGCGCCCAACUGACGCUGAAGCACGAAAGCGUGGGUAUCGAACAGGAUUAGAUACCCCUGUA